UAUAUUUUAGUAUAGAUGUAUAGAAAAUUUUGAAUUUUCAGGAAAUAAUUUAUUUUAUUAGAUAUAA
rnacentral:tRNA from 1 species